AUGCGCGGCGCUGGGGUCCUGCCCGCAGGCAGCGCAGCCUCUCCGCGGUGGCUCCGGCCGCUGAGUCACGGGUCGCCCACGGUGGCCGUGCACCUGAGCGCCCUCUCUGGUGUCCCUGACUGUCCAUAUGCCUUAUUCUUUUAUUUGCUCGGAUUUCCCUGGAAGCAUCCAGAGCCAGCAGUGAGGGUCCUUGUGAUCGCACUUUCCCAUGGUGACCCCUGUUCCUCUGCCCUUGGUGGGGGGCAGGGCUGGCUGCUUCACACCUGCUUAAUCCCUUCAGCAAUCCUGUGGGAUAGCCUUAGCCCUGUUUAUUAGAUAAGAUCUUUUUAUUUAAGGGGGCACCUGGGUGGUCAGUGGUUGAGCACCUGCCUUUGGCUCAGGUCAUGAUCUCAGGAUCCUGAGAUCACCCCACAUCAGGCUUCCUGCUCAGGAGAGAGCCCGCUUCUCCCUCUGCCCCUCACCCUGCUCGUGCUCUCUCUGUCUUGCUCUUUCUUUCCCCCUCUCUCAAAUAAAAUCUUUAAAAAAAAUAAAAAUAUGAGGAUCCCUGGAUGGCUCAGCGGUUUGGCGCCUGCCUUUGGCCCAGGGCGCGAUCCUGGAGUCCCGGGAUCGAGUCCCAUGUCGGGUUCCCAGCGUGGAGCCUGCUUCUCCCUCCUCCUGUGUCUCUGCCUCUCUCUCUCUCUAUGUCUAUCAUAAAUAAAUACAUCUUUAAAAAAAUAAAUAAAAAUAAAAACGUUAAAUGAAAUUUUAACUAACCUCUACACCUAAUGCAGGGCUCAAGCCCAAGACCCUAAGAUCAAGAGUCACAUGCUUUACCGACUGAGCCAGCCAGGCACCCUCAGGAGGUCUUCUUAGUUGUUGGUUGUUUUUUUUUUUUUUUUAAGAUUUUAUUUAUUUACUUAUGAGAGACACACAGAGAGAGACAGAGGCAGAGGGAGAAGCAGGUUCCCUGCGGGGAGCCUGAUGCGGGACUCGAUCUUGGGACUCCAGGAUCACACCCUGGGCUGAAGGCAGGCACUCAAGCGCUGAGCCACCCGGGUGUCCCAAAUAGGUUUUGUUUUGUUUUGUUUUAUAAUUGAGAUUCAGGUAACAUAGAAUCAACCAUGUUAAAGUGAACAAUUCAGUGGCGAUUGGCACACUCGUGAUGCUGUGCAGCACCACCUCCAUCUCCUUCCAGAACAUUUCCAUCACCCCGAAAGGAAGCCCCACGCCCACUAAGCGACCACCCAGGCCACCCUGCAACACCUGGCCACCCCCUUCACAGGCCCCCCCAUCUCUGUGGCUGUUUCUGCUCUGGAUGCUUCAUGUGAAGGGGAUCACACGCCCUGGGCCUGUGACCUGGGUACCCAGGCUUC
rnacentral:lncRNA from 1 species